UUUUAUGAGAGUUUGAUCCUGGCUCAGGACGAACGCUGGCGGCGUGCCUAAUACAUGCAAGUCGAACGCUUCUUUUUCCACCGGAGCUUGCUCCACCGGAAAAAGAGGAGUGGCGAACGGGUGAGUAACACGUGGGUAACCUGCCCAUCAGAAGGGGAUAACACUUGGAAACAGGUGCUAAUACCGUAUAACAAUCGAAAUCGCAUAGAUUUG
rnacentral:rRNA from 1 species